GGAAGUUAAAAAACUGUUUUUUAACUUUUAACUAAAAAAAAGUAAGAACCGGUUCUUAAAUAAAGACUUUGAGAACCGGUUUAAGUUUUUUUAGUUAAAAGUUAAGAAACAGUUUUUUAACUUCC
rfam:Brassica napus, WGS project CCCW01000000 data, contig: 25296